GAUGAACGCUAGCUACAGGCUUAACACAUGCAAGUCGAGGGGAAACGACAUCGAAAGCUUGCUUUUGAUGGGCGUCGACCGGCGCACGGGUGAGUAACGCGUAUCCAACCUGCCCAUCACUUGGGAAUAACCUUGCGAAAGUAAGACUAAUACCCAAUGACAUCCCACGAAGACAUCUGAAUGGGAUUAAAGAUUUAUCGGUGAUGGAUGGGGAUGCGUCUGAUUAGCUUGUUGGCGGGUUAACGGCCCACCAAGGCAACGAUCAGUAGGGGUUCUGAGAGGAAGGUCCCCCACAUUGGAACUGAGACACGGGCCAAACACAUACGGGAGGCAGCAGUGAGGAAUAUUGGUCAAUGGGCGAGAGCAUGAACCAGCCAAGUAGCGUGCAGCAUGACGGCCCUAUGGGUGGUAAACUGCUUUUAUAAGGGAAUAAAGUGCGUUUCGUGAGACUUUUUGCCUGUACCUGAUGAAUAAGGACCGGCUAAUUCCGUG
rnacentral:rRNA from 1 species